rnacentral:lncRNA from 1 species
CCUGAGCCCAGCAUUCUAUGAUGGUUUUGAUGAAUUACAGGUGUUCUCUUUGAAUCGAAUCAGAUAGCCUUUUAUUAUGGAGAAUUAACAACAACAAAAAUUGGUAAAUUGGGAUAAGGCAGUUAUGACAUGUGCCCGUGAUAUUUAGAUUUACAGAAAGUCAAUUCAGCGACAAAAGGUGCACAUCUUUCUCACUGGUCUUGAUGUGGAAUUUGAGCAAAUUCGUGAAGAAAUUCUACGCAAAGAUCCUAUACCUGAAUUGGAGGCCACAUAUGCCCUUGUUAGACGUGAUUCAGUACGUCGGGCUGAAGGGGACAAAGUCUGACACAACAACCAUGAUUGCUCGAAAUCGAGCACCUAACCGGUCGUCUAAUGCUCAGCCAGAUCAAUAACAGGUCUGGUUGCAUCUCUGGGUCAAAUCGGUCUGGCAGGGCAACUGGGUCAGAUUGUUCAACCGGUCCAACCGAGUCAACAGAACUAGUGGUAGCUUAGAAUCCUUCAAUCACACCACGUCAUCUAAUGAUCGUUUUUGUACCCAUUGCAAUUAAACUGGUCAUCUAAAACAUCGAUGCUUCGAACUUGUGGGAUAUUCAGAUUGGUGGGAUCACAACCGCGAUCCAAGGAAGAAAAUUUAAACUGUAGUUGUUGCUGACACUAAGAAUGGUGAGAAUAGCGAUAUUGUUGACAAGGCCUCUGCCCUGGUGGCCAUUACAGGUAAUAUUGGUAAGGCUUUAAAUGUUUUCUGCAUUUGUUUUGAAUAAUACAUGGAUAAUUGAUUCUGGUGUCAUUGAUCAUAUGACUUUUGAUUCUAGACAUGUGUCGUCACUCACCCCAUCCACUAAACCUAGUGUGUCCACUGCUAAUGGGACUUCAGCCUCUGUUAUUGGGGAAGGAUCAGUUACUCUUACUGAUACUUUAAAUUUAGACUCAGUUCUCAUUGUUUCAUCCCUUGAUUACAAUUUGUUAUCUGUUUGCCAAAUUACAGUUGCUUUGCAUUGUAUUGUAAUUUUUUGGCCUUCU